rnacentral:tRNA from 1 species
GCCGGCGUCGCAUAACCUGGUAUUGCGCCUGGCUCGAGACCAGGUGGCCGCAAGGCCUUCCCGGUUCAAAUCCGGGCGCCGGCG